CUUUGAACAGUGGUUGCAUGUCCAAUUAUACAAUCACAUGCAGGUUAGCUAAUGAUGGUUGCAGAUCUCACAGCACAUAGAUGCAAGCAUCAAUUCUGUACCUGAGUUGGGAACUAUGACGGGUAAGUAAUUUCUCGAAGAGUAUAAGACAAGGAAAACAAAUGAAUCUAGCAAAGCACAUAAUUCCAAUAUAUUACCAAAACAACAUACAAUAAAAAGAUGUUAUAUUCCUACCU
rnacentral:misc_RNA from 1 species